AACGCGAAGAACCUUACCAAGGCUUGACAUCCCCCUGAUAGGCGUAGAGAUACGCCCUUCCUACGGGACAGGGGAGACAGGUGGUGCAUGGUUGUCGUCAGCUCGUGUCGUGAGAUGUUGGGUUAAGUCCCGCAACGAGCGCAACCCUUAUCUUUAGUAGCCAGCAGUAGGAUGGGCACUCUAGAGAGACUGCCGUGGAUAACACGGAGGAAGGUGGGGACGACGUCAAAUCAUCAUGCCCCUUAUGUCUUGGGCAACACACGUGCUACAAUGGCUCGAACAAAGUGAAGCGAGACCGCGAGGUGGAGCAAGUCACGAAAAGGAGUCCCAGUUCGGAUUGCAGUCUGCAACUCGACUGCAUGAAGUUGGAAUCGCUAGUAAUCGCAAAUCAGCAUGUUGCGGUGAAUACGUUCCCGGGUCUUGUACACACCG
rnacentral:rRNA from 1 species